rnacentral:rRNA from 1 species
GACAGAGGUGCCGAGCGUUAGGCGGAAUCACUGGGCUUAAAGCGUGUGUAGGCGGAUCCGUAAGUACCUUGUGAAAUCCCACGGCUCAACCGUGGAACUGCUUGGUAUACUGCGGGUCUUGAGCCACCUAGGGGCGAGCGGAACAAGUGGUGGAGCGGUGAAAUGCGUAGAUAUCACUUGGAACGCCAAUGGUGAAAACAGCUCGCUGGGGGUGUGCUGACGCUGAGACACGAAAGCCAGGAGAGCAAACGGG